GACGAACGCUGGCGGCGUGCUUAACACAUGCAAGUCGAACGGAAAGGCCCUGCUUUUGUGGGGUUCUCGAGUGGCGAACGGGUGAGUAACACGUGAGUAACCUGCCCCUUACUUUGGGAUAACUUCUGGAAACUGGGGCUAAUACCGCAUAGGAGCUCCUGCUGCAUGGUGGGGGUUAGAAAGUUUCGGCGUUUCGAGAUGGACUCGCGGCUUAUGAGCUUGUUGGUGGGGUAGUGGCUUACCAAGGGUGUGACGGAUAGCCGGCCUGGGAGGGGGACCGGGGACCUGGGGACUGAGAGAGGGAGCAGACGCCAACGGGAGGCAGUGGGGGGAAACAUGGCGCAGUGGGGGGAAGCCUGAGGCAGAGACGCCGGGGGCGGGAAGACGGCCUACGGGUGGGGAACCGAUUUCGACUGUGACGAAGCGUGAGUGACGGUAAUGGGUAAAGAAGCACCGGCUAACUACGUG
rnacentral:rRNA from 1 species